GUAUUUCCGCGGGCGCUGAGCACUAGAGAGAGCGUCUUGUGGCUGCGGCCUGCCCCUCAGCCUCCUCCGCGCGGUUACCCCUGUACCCGCCGCCAUCCGUCCUGGCGCUCCGGAUGAGUCAAUGAGGGGCAGGGCCCGAGGAGUGGUCUUCCCAAGAACCCCUGGUGGCCUCCCAAGGCCGGUGCUGUGUACCUCCUCCCCGACAAAAGGGGAAACUGAGGCCCCGAGGGGAGUGGGAAGAGCCGGCUGGACGUCAGGCCCAGCCGCUGGUGCAGUGGUCCGUCCCCUCUGCCGGGGUGGGCCCCUCGGGUUUCGCGUGUCCUCGGGAAAGAGACUGGCGGGUGAGCCGCGCCCUCGGCCUUCGCUGGGCUAAGCCGACCCCAUGCAGACGUCAAACCCCCCUAGGUCGGCACAGCCUCUCUGCGGGGAGGCUUAGUGCCCCCUUGAGAAACGGCUUGGCAACGCUGUGCCCGGGGCCUUGCACGCGGGCUGAGGGGGCUAGAGACCUCGCGACUUUUACUCCCCCGACCCCGAUCUCCGACUCCUGACUUUGGAAGCCCCCAAAGCUGCUUUUCGGUUGCCUACAAAGUGUCGGUCAUUGUGCCACGUCCUUGGAACCGUGAACUCAUUUUCUCCUCAAUAACCUUUAAAAAGUAGCUGUAAAACCUCCAUUUUACAGACCAGUUGGCUGAGGUUUAAAUGGAGGACGCUCCCAGGGCCCCAGAGGGGCGAAUUCCAGACUCCUUUGCCAGGACCUUGUACUAAGCCCCUUCCCUACGCUUUUCCCUGCCUAGGCCUCGUGGGCUGUGCGGCUAUCCUGGAGACAGAUGACAGCUCUCCCUUGGAUGGCUUUGCUGGUUCCGCACCAGCCAGCGCCCCCAUUUUUCCUGCAGCACCCUGAUCUGCACUCCCUGAGGGGCUCCCACUGUCCGCGGUGUGAGGAUGUCCCUGGAUAGUCCACUGUGUGCAGAGGCAUGGGAGUUGUCAUGUUGGGAACAUGCUAGACCUCAGUAUCCUUGAGGGAUGCUGCCUUGGGUCUGGAAACUGUUAGAGGAAACCCCAAGAGGUGCAGGCACUGAGCCUCUCAGGACAAUGACCUGGGGUCCCAGCUCCCCUGGAGGGGCCUCCUCAUGAUUGUUUGGGGGUUGAUCACAGACCAAGAGUGACGAGUGAUGUCACCCUGUGACUCAUGGCUGGACCUUCUUGCCCCUAUUGUCUCAGCACAACAUUAUUCGACUUUUCCCUCAGCGUGGGUGGGCAGAGGAAAAGCCCUGUGGCUCUGGGGACUUGGGAUCCAGAGUUGAAGACCCUUCAGCUGGCUCUGCCCUGCCAGUGCCACAGAGUGCCAUGGCCCAGGAAGACAGGUUUUCUUCCAUCUAGGCCAGGCCAUCCAGUGGCCAUCCUCCGUGUCCUCCCGCCUCCUCCUGGUGUGACUUCUGAAAACCAAGAAUUUGUUCCUGUUGACUUUUUCUGUGCUAUGGACCAUUGUCCUCUCACCCACUCAAUAAAUCUUGAAACAUGC
rnacentral:lncRNA from 10 species